GUGGCUCUCGUGAAGAAAUUGCUGGUAAUGCCGUCGUUUCAUUUAUGUCGUCUCGAGCUUUGAACUGUUUUAUUAACAUUGUCGUUUUGGCGUUUCAUUUAAAAGUUCUGAUAUUGUCAAUUGCCAAAUGGUUUUUUCUAACUUUUGUUUUUGGGCUGUAUUUGGCAAUUGAAGUUGAGAUUUAACCUGAUUGUGUUUACAUUAUUCGUUUUGAGUUAGAUUAAAGGUUCGAAACUCUUUUGAACAUGUCAUUUCUGGCUUAGUUGUUUGCCGUUUUCAAUUUGCACUCUCAAAUCUGUACGCUCUGACUCCGUCCUGCUCUGCAUGGUUGCUGAGGGAAAAUAAGAAAAAGCGAAAAAGGAA
rnacentral:misc_RNA from 1 species